rnacentral:rRNA from 1 species
GACGAACGCUGGCGGCGUGCUUAACACAUGCAAGUCGAACGGAAAGGCCCUGCUUUUGUGGGGUGCUCGAGUGGCGAACGGGUGAGUAACACGUGAGUAACCUGCCCUUGACUUUGGGAUAACUUCAGGAAACUGGGGCUAAUACCGGAUAGGAGCUCCUGCUGCAUGGUGGGGGUUGGAAAGUUUCGGCGGUUGGGGAUGGACUCGCGGCUUAUCAGCUUGUUGGUGGGGUAGUGGCUUACCAAGGCUUUGACGGGUAGCCGGCCUGAGAGGGUGACCGGCGACAUGGGGACUGAGAUACGGCCAAGACUCCUACGGGAGGCAGCAGUGGGGAAUAGUGCACAAUGGGCGGGAGCCUGAUGCAGCAACGCCGCGUGCGGGAUGAUGGCCUUCGGGUUGUAAACCGCUUUCGCCUGUGACGAAGCGGGAGUGACGGUAAUGGGUAAAGAAGCACCGGCUAACUACGUG